rnacentral:rRNA from 1 species
UACGUAGGGUGCAAGCGUUGUCCGGAAUUAUUGGGCGUAAAGAGCUCGUAGGCGGUUUGUCGCGUCUGCUGUGAAAACCCGAGGCUCAACCUCGGGCCUGCAGUGGGUACGGGCAGACUAGAGUGCGGUAGGGGAGAUUGGAAUUCCUGGUGUAGCGGUGGAAUGCGCAGAUAUCAGGAGGAACACCGGUGGCGAAGGCGGUUCUCUGGGCCUUACCUGACGCUGAGGAGCGAAAGCGUGGGGAGCGAACAGG